rnacentral:misc_RNA from 1 species
UGACAUUUGACAAUCCAAUUAAGUGAUUCUGUUUUAUGUUUGAGCUAGUUAUAAAUGCAUCCAUUGUCCAUGUUAGGCUGCAUUUUAAAGAAACCCAAAAAGAUGGGAACCAUACAGUUUGUAACUUCUUUACUUUCCCCCUCUUAGCAUGUGGUUUAUGACUGUCACAUCUCCUGCUUGUUCUUGCUUUUCACUAUAAGCAUUUGAUUUGUAAGUUGAUUGACUAGGAAACGCUGUUUGCUGUAGAUUUAAAAUAGUUACAAUCACCUUGAUAUAAGCUAUUGGGGUAAAAGAAAAUACAAGAAUAAUAAAUUGGGGUAAAAGCAGGCCUGGAGAAUGUUUUUGAUUCACAGCUCAAGGUUACAGUGUUGUUCUUCUAGGUUAAGUAUUAGAAGAUGAUGUUGUUUUGUUUGUUGGAUAAUAAGAUAGUGUCAUUGACUGGAUUAAAAGUUGAUUGCUUGCGAGUUGUGAGUCAGUCAUUGCUGUGCUUGUUCAGAUAUUGAUAUCUGAGACGUCAUUCAUGUUUGUGGUAUAAAUCUUGUCAAUUAAAGAUUUCCUAAUUUUUAAAAUGAAUAAUGUGUAUCUAUGUCAU